AACGAACGCUGGCGGCAGGCUUAACACAUGCCAGUCGAACGCGUGCAGCAAUGCACGAGUGGCGCACGGGUGAGUAACGCGUGGAUAUCUGCCUUUUGGUUCGGAAUAACCCCGGGAAACUGGGGCUAAUACCGGAUGGUUCCUACGGGAUAAAGAUUUAUCGCCAAAAGAUGAGUCCGCGUCCGAUUAGCUAGUUGGUGAGGUAAUGGCUCACCAAGGCGACGAUCGGUAGCUGGUCUGAGAGGACGAUCAGCCACACUGGGACUGAGACACGGCCCAGACUCCUACGGGAGGCAGCAGUGGGGAAUAUUGGACAAUGGGGGCAACCCUGAUCCAGCCAUGCUGCGUGAGUGAUGAAGGCCUUCGGGUUGUAAAGCUCUUUUGGCGGGGACGAUGAUGACGGUACCCGCAGAAUAAGCCCCGGCUAACUUCGUG
rnacentral:rRNA from 1 species